GAAUCUACAGGUCGAGCAAGUCUCGUAAAUUUCACGAUUGCGAGCCACGCUUCACGCAACCGUGUUUGCGUACUUGUGUUUCAAGUUGCGUGGUCGUACGGAGUUAUAUUUACCAAAUUUAAAUAUAAUCGUUUUCAAAAUUAAAUCAAUAUGGCUACUGGGUGUAAAAGAUAAAUCUUAUUCUAUCUGUUCUUAAUGAGUUUUAGAUAAUUUUAGUUGUAUUUCUUUGUAAUUUUGUGUUGUACAAAGAUUAAUUUAACAUUUUCUCUGGAAGUAUUAAUUUAGAAAGAUAAUAUGCUUCAUUGGUGUUGUGUUUUGAAGUGUGAAAUGUGAUAAAGUCAAGAUAAAGUUCACUUUUAAACUGAACUAAAUAAGGUAUCUGAGAGACAACAAUGGUUAAAUGCAAUACAAUGUACAGGUUUUACUAGCGAAAUGAAAAUUUUCCUGUCCUGUCUGCUGUAAUCAUUUUAUAUCUGGAAAACCAGCCGACUUAAUAGAUAAUAACAAUCUCCAGAUUGGGUUCCUUCAAUAAAUAUGGUCUAUAAACACAAUGAAAUAAGUUCCCCAAAAUCUAAAAUGGAGUGGUAUCAAAGGAGAAUUAAAGGGAAAAAUAUUCCUAUUGAAAUUAUUUAUAAGGCACUGGACUGUCUUAAAUUCUACAAUAAUACUAGAAUCAGCUGAGAGAAGUGGUCUACAAAAAACCAGGAAGGAAACGGAAUAUGUGGCUACGAAAGGCAAAAGAAAGGUUUACAAAGCAAAUGUGACACAUUUUUUUGAAAUAUUUAGGAAUAUCAGUAAAUUGCAUUAAAAAAAUGUAUGAAAAGAUUUGUUCAAUAAAAAUGUUUAUAUUUA